CUUAUUUAAGCUAACUUCAAAUUUCAUAAGUCAGAAGAAUGAUCAUAUGAUUAACAGGAAUGUCUAAAAGGAGGAUCCCUUGGCAUUUAAAAUGUUCAACAUUAGUGUUGUGUUACGUAUGGCAAAAGUUUGUUUGGUGUUUAAAAGUUUUGAAUCAGAUAUGGAUUUAACACGAGUAGAAUUUUGCUUGUAUAAACAUUUUUUUUUAUUAUUCAACAUUAGUUGGUGUUAACUGUGGCAAUAAUGUGGACGGUGUUUAAAAUUUUUGGACCAAUUACGAUGCACCGGCAUUGCAAGAAUCUUUGCUUCAACAGAUUAUAAAUUCAAGAACUUGAUAAUAAUGUUCCCAGUUGGAUUUAAAAUUGUGGGACUUUUAGUUUCCAUUUGCAACCUAUGACCAUAAUUUCAUAUCUUCAGCUUCUAAUUGAAGGCGAAGUGCACGACACUACUUGCUUUGUUGACAUGCGAGCUCGAAUUCGUGGAAACAAAGGUUACUAAUUGUUGGUAAAUCAUUUGUGAUAAACGUACGUGGAGUGAUGGAACGUUCGUGAGAUUUGACAUCCAAAACCCAGCACCAGCCCUUGUUUUUCCUCCCGGGGAGGGACAUAGAUAGAGAGUAAAGACCUUGAAAUUACACUUGCCAAGCUUGAUGUAUUGUCAAGGUCAAGGUAUAUUAUUUUUUGAGAAUACAUAAGACCAAUCAUUUAGUCCAAAAGAUACCAGCAUGUUUGGUAUAUUGGACUUGAUAUUCAAACUCAUAUUCUUCCACGUGCUGAACAUACAAGUAACAUAUUUUACUUGGUUUUAGAUAUGUUUUCGAUUGAGUAUAGCUUUUGCUUCAAACAUUUGUUAACUUUUAUAAUGUUUCAAAUGUGGAUCAUUUGAUUGUA